rnacentral:rRNA from 1 species
ACAGCAGCCGCCGCGGUAAUACGUAGGGUGCAAGCGUUAAUCGGAAUUACUGGGCGUAAAGCGUGUGCAGGCGGUUAUAUAAGUCAGAUGUGAAAUCCCCGGGCUCAACCUGGGAACUGCAUUUGAGACUGUAUGGCUAGAGUGUGCCAGAGGGGGGUAGAAUUCCACGUGUAGCAGUGGAAUGCGUAGAUAUGUGGAGGAAUACCGAUGGCGAAGGCAGCCCCCUGGGAUAACACUGACGCUCAUGCACGAAAGCGUGGGGAGCAAACAGGAUUAGAUACCCGCGUAGUCCCUGUCUCUUAACA